rnacentral:rRNA from 1 species
GAUGAACGCUGGCGGCGUGCCUAAUACAUGCAAGUCGAGCGAACGGACGAGAAGCUUGCUUCUCUGAUGUUAGCGGCGGACGGGUGAGUAACACGUGGAUAACCUACCUAUAAGACUGGGAUAACUUCGGGAAACCGUAGCUAAUACCGGAUAAUAUUUUGAACCGCAUGGUUCAAAAGUGAAAGACGGUCUUGCUGUCACUUAUAGAUGGAUCCGCGCUGCAUUAGCUAGUUGGUAAGGUAACGGCUUACCAAGGCAACGAUGCAUAGCCGACCUGAGAGGGUGAUCGGCCACACUGGGACUGAGACACGGUCCAGACUCCUACGGGAGGCAGCAGUAGGGAAUCUUCCGCAAAGGGCGAAAGCCUGACGGAGCAACGCCGCGUGAGUGAUGAAGGUCUUCGGAUCGUAAAACUCUGUUAUUAGGGAAGAACAUAUGUGUAAGUAACUGUGCACAUCUUGACGGUACCUAAUCAGAAAGCCACGGCUAACUACGUG